AGAGGAAAUUCGGAAUGGUUUGGCUGGACCUGAUGGCGUUUAGUAUGUACAUCAGAGUGGAUGAAGCAGACUGGAAAGAUUAAAUCUGUGUUUCAAUAAAAUGAAAUUAUAAUUCCGAGCUUUACACACCAGAGAAAUAUACCAACUGUAACCAUACUGUAUUUGUGCUAUAGCAUUGCUUUUUUAUUUUAACUAUGUACUACUUUAUUAAUUUAUUAAUAUUGAAUUGUAAACGUCAGAGAAACCUAAUUUAUUUAUAAGUUUACGGCAUUGAUUACAGAUUUAAAAUGAAUGAUUAUGAAUGUCAUAUUGUGUUGAGAUAAAAUGCAGAAUGAUAUUUAUAUAUUUAUUAAAAUUUGGAUUAAUUUAUUUAUUUUAUUGUUAUUUAAAUAAACAUACCGUAAAAU
rnacentral:misc_RNA from 1 species